rnacentral:rRNA from 1 species
ACAAUGACUCUCAGCAACGGAUAUCUUGGCUCUUGCAACGAUGAAAGAACGCAAUUGCAGAAUUCCGCGAAUCAUCGAGUUUUUGAACGCAAGUUGCGCCCGAGGCUCGUCCCGAGGGCAUGCCCGCCUGAGCGUCCG